rnacentral:hammerhead_ribozyme from 1 species
GCACUGCUGAAGAGUCUCACAAUAGGAGGAAACGGUCGUCCAGUGC